rnacentral:rRNA from 1 species
GAGUUUGAUCGUGGCUCAGAUUGAACGCUGGCGGCAUGCUUUACACAUGCAAGUCGAACGGCAGCGCGGGGGCAACCUGGCGGCGAGUGGCGAACGGGUGAGUAAUAUAUCGGAACGUACCCAAGAGUGGGGGAUAACGUAGCGAAAGUUACGCUAAUACCGCAUACGAUCUAAGGAUGAAAGCAGGGGAUCUUCGGACCUUGUGCUCCUGGAGCGGCCGAUAUCUGAUUAGCUAGUUGGUGAGGUAAAGGCUCACCAAGGCCACGAUCAGUAGCUGGUCUGAGAGGACGACCAGCCACACUGGAACUGAGACACGGUCCAGACUCCUACGGGAGGCAGCAGUGGGGAAUUUUGGACAAUGGGCGAAAGCCUGAUCCAGCAAUGCCGCGUGAGUGGAGAAGGCCU